ensembl:lncRNA
AAUGCCACAUGCAUAGGAACAUGGCUACACAGAGAUAAUGCAUGUCAGCUUCAGACUUGUAACAGCAAGUGGUUUUUUUUAUUGCUUUCAUGAUCUAAAUGUCCAUAUAUGGGGUGUAACUGGAAAUCAUGUGACUUCCUGAAGUUCAGCUUCCAAUUCUUGUAAACAUAUGUAAGAAUUUCACUUUCUGAUUUCUAGAAACCAAAAGUGAGGUGCUUCUCAGUAAAUAUUUUGCCCUACAGAAAUUGAUGUUCAUGUAAAUGAUCCUCCUAAUCUAUGCUAAACAUGAAAAACUACACUACUCAGCCACAGCCUGCCUUUGUAAAGCUUGGAUGUGCUGGCACAAAGUUAUUCUGAAAACUGGAAAAAGUAUUUGAGGAAAUAUUUGGACACCAAAGUCAUAUGCAUUGAUGUGAAGAAAAAAAUCACCCUAGCUGGAAUGAUAGAUUCUGAGCACAGCAUCAAACAAAAGCAGCCAAGAGAUAUCUGCCUAGACACACCAGGAUGGAAUCUGGGGAAUGUGAAGUGGAAGCUAAGCAGUGCCGGCAGCACCUGGGAGCAGCCAGCCUCCAUACCUGCUUUGGGAAGACACAGAAGAGAAGUCUCAAGCUCAAGGGGGACCGGUUAAUAUGAGUUUCUGAAAGGACCUACCACCAUCCAUGCAGUAGAGGGAUUAAAUUACUGAAGACCAGAAGACAAAGAGAGAAAAACAUUUGGGGUCUGUGGCUUACUGCCAUUAAGACAUAUGUAAGUACAUGAGGCAGUUGGGUACAACCCCUCUCUGCAAAUAUUCAGUCUCCAUAUGAGGUUUAAGCAUCUGACUUCAGUUGCUGCCAGUAAAAUAUAUUAGACUGAAAAUGUUUCAGCAUGAAAGGCAGCCACUGAAGCCAACAUCAGGGCUUCUUUUUCCCUCAAAUAUGAGGGCAAAGCCUAAUAGUGAAAGUCAGCAAAUGAGGAAAACCAAGUCAUUCUUUGUUAGAAUGAAACUUGUUGAGAGCCAGAGCACAACAGCAGCACGGAGAAGUUCUGUUGGAGCCUGCAGUGAUUUGCAUGAGAUCAUCACCCCUCUGCUAGCAUACGGCACUUUCAGAAGGGUUGCUGAUUCCUGCUGAAUUGGGGCUGGUUUUCUCUUUUUUCCUGUCCUGUUGACACACUGCUUACAAGAGUUCACCAAGGUCAGGUUUGCCUUCUUCUGUGCUGUUAAAAAAUGGAAAACCAGUGGAGAUGUCAAAGGGGUCAGACUAAAGAAGCUGGCGUGAUUUCUGCUACAGAGCUGCUGUAUAGUCUGGGAAGUCUCUGCCAGAUUCAUUUGGUUUCAGCCGGGGGUUUCAAACAGACAGGUGAUGUCAAGUUUCUGCAGAGUUUUGUCUGGCUGUGGUUAACUAUUACUUUAAUUAAAUAAAUUCAGAUUUGGUUCAACAAUUUUUUUUCCCAGAGAGGAUGGAGCAUCAGACAGAUCCUGAAUCUGCAGAUAUUAUUCCUACCUCAUAGUCAGAAAACGCCUACCUUUGUGAACACUGUUCUGUGGAAAGGAAGAAGUGUACUGUUAAGAAUAAGUCUCCCCUAGCUUACAACAGAGGUCCUUCUCAUGAAGAUGUCAAGACAACUUGGCUAACACUUGGGCUCCUCCUGCGGACCCAAAGAAACCAAACAGCACAUGGAAUAGUUAGAAGGUGGAAGAUUCCAUGUCAAAUACAUUCAGGAUUUUCUGUUAGCAGAAAAGCCGAAUAAACCUUGCAUGCAAUCACAUAGCAACAGCAAAGCAAGGGAGAAAGUCUAAAGCAAGCCCCACAGGCUCCUCUGCCUGCCCUCCCAGAGGAACGAGAGCUGAGCUGGCAUUUCUUGGUGAAGUUCCCACUGCCAAGCACUGUGCAUGCAGUGACGCUAAGGGACACAUUCUGUUCAACUGAAUACAAGAAAGAUAACCAUCUGUGCUCAUUUUACUCAUUUCAGUUCUGAAUCUGUGCCCAUUAACCAUAUAAUGGUUGGGGGAAAAAACAGCUGGUGAGAGAAUCUGGCAAAGUAUCAAAGGGAAUUCACUGAAAAGCUGUAAUUCCAAAUAAAAAUGGCUGAAAAAGUUCAAGGAGCCUCCUCUAUAUGAUCUUGUAGCCACUAAAUAAAGAAGGAUCUAGACAAAAUAGGAUCCUGUUAGUGAACUCUGAUAAAUCUCUGUAGUCACUGAAAGGCAGGGAUGAACUCCUUGAAAUGAUAAGAAGGAUGGAAAAGGAAUCUUUCAUGACAGUUUGUUUUUUCUUGAUGUUCAGUGGCAUGUUACUGCCUAAGCCAGCCCAGCUGGAAACAGAGGCACAUAGAAAACAAGUGCCACCUGACAGCUACAUGAGAGUGAGUCUUACCCCACCGAUUCUCAAAAUAAGCUUAACUGUAUUUUAUGACAGUAACUGAUCAAAUCCAAGACACCACGUCGUCAGUCCCAAAGAUUGAAAUGUUUUAUCCACAUCUAGGAAGUGACAACCGUGCAAACUCCCAUGCUGAACUGAGAAAACUUUCAUUUCAUGUGCUGAAAGGCACGAUUGCCAAACCAGGGAACCUGAAACUAGAAGUGCACAGGAGGAUGAUUCAGCAGGGCAGCCCAGGGAUGCUGGGGUCAAGCAGCCAGGAAAAAGAGACCAUAGGCCAUGGGUAUCUGAAGCUGCAUCUGAACAUGUUUACUUGCAGUGAAGCGUUACCCAUACUGGUUACAAAAGAGGAACCUUGAGGAAAGCUGUGAUACUGCCUAAUGACUCAAUACUCACUCACAAGAAAGGCACUUCUCUAAACGGUGUGUUAUCACCAGAUAGUCUUUCAGACUUUCUUCUUUAGUGGACGCAGUGACUUGUAGUCACAUGCUCAUGCCAUUGAUCAUUCAGUAUUUCACAAAUUCUCUGGGAAAGUGCUCAGACUUGGCCAGAUAAAUAGAGCUGUGACUGUCACUGAGGCUCCCUUCUCUGUCUGGCACAGACUGAAGAUAGGGGGAGAUGUUUCCACAGCCGGCACCAGAGCUGCUGCUAAGGAUGAAGGGUGCUCACCUGUGAGUUUGAACUCGAAGGCUACUGCUAACGACAAGAAUGGCCAGAGUACAUAGUCUGUGGAUUAAAACAAGUAAAGACAUUCACAAGGUUAGGGUGCAGAAGUGGAAGGGAGUGCUGGGAUUACCACUGAACUAUUGCUUUGAGAAAUACAAGGGGGAAAAGAAAGAGGACAGGACAGUUUUAGAGAGAAAGAGCACAAAGCAACUUUUGGACCCUUUCGGGUCCCUUCGUUCUGUCUGGCAUGAAUCAGAGUACCUUGCAGCAGCUCUGAGAUGUGCUCUGACCCCCACAGCCAACGAUGGGCCCAACCACAGAGCGUUUCAGUGUGACCCAUUGGCAGUGCUCCCCAAAGGAGCCUACAGAGCAAGUUGUUUGUGCCUCUCCUGCCCCCUUUCUACAGACUGAGAGAGCUGUCAGGACAUCAGAUUAACCACAAGUAGGGAUCAAGUCGUGCUCCAGGAGUGACUAAGAGGUUUGUUAAAUAAACUGCCUGCUCAGGCUGGUAAAGGUGACUGGGAGGGCUGAUGUGUUCCCUUUAAAAGGAACAUGAGUCUUACCGAACAGAUCAUCACGAAGCAUAGAAUCAUUAAGGUUGGAAAAGACCUCUAAGGUCAUCAGUCCGACCAAAUGUUCACCUGCCACCAAUACUGCCCUCAUUUCAGGCACAUCCAAGACCAUCACAGACCUCAAGCAAAUACUGCAAAAGCCACGAUGAAGCUGCUGAUGUGAAUGAGCUACUCUGCCAAAUCCUGCAGCCCCUUGUCUUGACUAUAACUCUUGCAGUCAACACAGGCACCCAGAAUUAGGAUUCAAAACUGCACUGAAAGUAAAGGGCACAAAUUAGUUGUGCAAACAGCCUUUCUCCUCACUGUUAAAAUGCGAGGCUGCAAGGGAGGGCAGUCAGUUCGAAUGCAUGACCAGGAGCUGCUGUAAAAUUCCUUGCAGAAACAAGAGACCUAUUAUGUUUAUCACCAAUUUGCUAAGUAAGGUUAAUACUCUGGCAUUGGCCCUGCCUCACAUGCCCUUAGUAGCACUACCAAGCUUUGUCCCACUAAGAUUUUACAGUAGAAGAGAUAACACACAUUCGAUAACCCAUUAUAAACACGCACUUUUAUUCUCCCCCCUUCACCCUCAUGCCUUUGCAGCAGGGAAGAUAAUGCUCUCACCAGUGGACCUAUUUCCAGCACCUGUAACCAGCUUAUGGCUAAGGAAACAGAGACCCAUCAGCCAUUGUGGUCAGAUGAAUAGUCUGUGUGGAUAUCAAUAUCAUAAUAAAUCAUUCCACUGCUGAAAGUCAUCUUACCCUCAGAAGGAUCUGAAUGGCAACUAUUUCCAAAUCCUUACAUACAUCCAUUUACAGUAGCUGAACUGUGGGAGGAGACUGAACUAUUUUUCAGUUCGCAUGAUAGUCAGCUGUUCCUCAUUUAGGAAUGAAUCCAUUUGCCUUUGUAUUAGGCCCAAAUAAUAGCUCCUGAAAUUGAGAUGUAAUCACCAACUAAAACUAGGAUUAAGCUAACGCCACCGAACUCCUUUGUUCCUCAAAACACAUUCAAACCCCCUGACCAGAUUCUGAUCUUGAUGUGAAUCUCAACUCACUGAGUUAAAUCCAAAAGCCACACCAUUUAAGUGGUGUAUCUCAGUGGAACCGAAGUUCAGAAUCAGUCCUUAAUACUGGUGCACAUGGUACUGUGCAGAACGAGCCCCACACUAUUUAUAGCUCACACUAUAUAUACACACUGCAGCUUCCAAAAGCAUAUUUCAUCUUUUGGGAGGACAAUGCUUUCUGAACUGUAAGAAAAGGCUGAGUUUUGUCAAAAAAUCUGCUCAAAUCCUUAACCUGGAAGAGCGGCCCCACGCUGCCAAUCAGAUAAUAAGCCGAAUUCUUACAUCACACUUUGUUUGUAGCUCACUGUGUAGUUAAUGGUUGCAGCUUAUCUAACAGGAGAAAUGUGAAACCAGAGUUUUAGAACAAUGGGAACAUGCCUGUCACCAGCAGGCUGCCAAUGAAUCAUGUCCCUGCAGUCAGGCUCUCCCAGAAGGUCAUUUACAACAGAAAUACAUCUCUGCCUGUAGCUGCUAAAAUGCUGAAAAGUGUCUUUCAGUUCUACAUGAGCAAACCAAUUACCAGAACAAUUUUACCUUGCAGUAUUUCUGAGUUCUGUUGAUUGCAAUAUGUGGCAAUAAAG